rnacentral:tRNA from 1 species
GCCAGCAUGGUGCAGUGGUUUGAGUGUUGGACUAUGACUCUAGAGACCAGGGUUCAAUUCCCUGCUUGGCC